rnacentral:lncRNA from 10 species
GAGUGUAAACCAGUGCUUCAAAACCAGCAGCUGCCACAAACUGUAGUGACCUUUCAGUGUCCCGCCGACUUCCACUCUCUUGCUUCCAGCAGGAGUUAGAAUCUAACAUUUCUUUACAAUGACCUCUCUAACUUCUUGGACUCAAGGUGUAAGUUUGUUCCCAACAUACCAGACAGAGAGCAACUCUCACCAGAGAAGAUCCCAAUGUGUUUUAUGCUAGAUCUGACUUUAAUUAAGUGUAGACAAUGCUCCCAUCAGUGCUGGAACUGGCCCCGGUAACUUGCUUUAGCUGAUGGAAUGUUACCAAACACAACAUGAUCAAAGGCUUGAGAGAUGAUUUCCCUCCUGUGCUUCCGCAAUUACCAUGAAAAGAACAUGGCCUGGUGGUCCCUGAUCCCCAAAGAAUGACGGACACCUGGAAAAAGCUUGGAGUAACAGAUUCAUGAGCAAGAAUAAAUAAUUAUUGUUUUAAU